GGUUGCUUGAUGUAGCGGUUAUCAUGUCUGCUUCACAUUGCCUCGGCAAUUGGAUACGCAGAAUGUCGUGAGUUCGAUUCUCACAGCGAUCA